UGGGGAAUCUUGCGCAAUGGGCGAAAGCCUGACGCAGCCAUGCCGCGUGAAUGAUGAAGGUCUUAGGAUUGUAAAAUUCUUUCACCGGGGACGAUAAUGACGGUACCCGGAGAAGAAGCCCCGGCUAACUUCGUGCCAGCAGCCGCGGUAAUACGAAGGGGGCCUAGCGUUGCUCGGAAUUACUGGGCGUAAAGGGAGCGUAGGCGGACAUUUAAGUCAGGGGUGAAAUCCCGGGGCUCAACCUCGGAAUUGCCUUUGAUACUGGGUGUCUUGAGUGUGAGAGAGGUAUGUGGAACUCCGAGUGUAGAGGUGAAAUUCGUAGAUAUUCGGAAGAACACCAGUGGCGAAGGCGACAUACUGGCUCAUUACUGACGCUGAGCUCGAAAGCGUGGGGAGCAAACAGGAUUAGAUACCCUGGUAGUCCACGCUGUAAACGAUGAUUGCUAGUUGUCGGGAUGCAUGCAUUUCGGUGACGCAGCUAACGCAUUAAGCAAUCCGCCUGGGGAGUACGGUCGCAAGAUUAAAACCUUAAAGGAAUUGACGGGGGUCAUAGCUGUUUCCUG
rnacentral:rRNA from 1 species